CCUACGGGAGGCAGCAGUGAGGAAUAUUGGUCAAUGGGCGAGAUCCUGAACCAGCCAAGCCGCGUGAGGGAAGACGACCCUAUGGGUUGUAAACCUCUUUUGUCGGAGAACAAAACCGGGGACGUGUCCCGGACUGCGUGUAUCCGAAGAAAAAGCAUCGGCUAACUCCGUGCCAGCGGCCGCGGUAAUACGGAGGAUGCGAGCGUUAUCCGGAUUUAGGGGGUUAAGGGGUGCGUAGGCGGUCCGUUAAGUCAGCGGUAAAAUUGCGGGGCUCAACCCCGUCGAGCCGUUGAAACUGGCAGGCUGGAGUGGGCGAGAAGUACGCGGAAUGCGCGGUGUAGCGGUGAAAUGCAUAGAUAUCGCGCAGAACUCCGAUUGCGAAGGCAGCGUACCGGCGCCAGACUGACGCUGAGGCACGAAAGCGUGGGUAUCGAACAGGAUUAGAUACCCCGGUAGUC
rnacentral:rRNA from 1 species